rnacentral:rRNA from 1 species
AGUAAAAGUCGUAACAAGGUUUCCGUAGGUGAACCUGCGGAAGGAUCAUUACCGAGUGCGGGCCCUCUGGGUCCAACCUCCCAUCCGUGUCUAUCUGUACCCUGUUGCUUCGGCGUGGCCACGGCCCGCCGGAGACUAACAUUUGAACGCUGUCUGAAGUUUGCAGUCUGAGUUUUUAGUUAAACAAUCGUUAAAACUUUCAACAACGGAUCUCUUGGUUCCGGCAUCGAUGAAGAACGCAGCGAAAUGCGAUAAUUAAUGUGAAUUGCAGAAUUCGGUGAAUCAUCGAGUCUUUGAACGCACAUUGCGCCCCCUGGUAUUCCGGGGGGCAUGCCUGUCCGAGCGUCAUUGCUGCCCUCAAGCACGGCUUGUGUGUUGGGCUUCCGUCCCUGGCAACGGGGACGGGCCCAAAAGGCAGUGGCGGCACCAUGUCUGGUCCUCGAGCGUAUGGGGCUUUGUCACCCGCUCCCGUAGGUCCAGCUGGCAGCUAGCCUCGCAACCAAUCUUUUUAACCAGGUUGACCUCGGAUCAGGUAGGGAUACCCGCUGAACUUAAGCAUAUCAAUAAGCGGAGG